AUGAUCAUACUAUUGUGUUUUUUUUUAUUUUCUUCUCUUUUUUUAGACAAGGUCUCACUUUGUCACCUGGGCUCAAGCGAUCCUCCCACCUCAGCCCCCACAGAACUUCUAGAGAAAACAAGAAGAAGACUUCAAAAAACAUGCUGUGAUGUCUCCCGGUGGAGACAGGGCACGAGGUGAGUGAAAAUUGCAAAGAACUGUUUUCUAAUAAGAACACAGGCAAACUGAGAGCUUAGCUUAAACCAGUGAUCAUUCUUGAAGCAGAAGUAUUAUAAAUUUCUUUGUAGAAUUUUAUAACCCUUCUUGGUUUGAUAACCGUCAAAUAAACAAAUUGUGAGAUUACUUAAUUAGCUAGCAGUAAGGGCAAAUAGCCACCUUCUAAACCAGCUGUGUUGCAUCAGACUUGAUUGCAUAUAUGAAUGAAUGCUUAUAGCAUUGAGACAAGAAUGAACUGUUUUUGUUUGUUUGUUUGUUUUGUUUUGUUUAUACAGAGUCUUGCUCUGUCACCCAGGAGUGCAGUGGUGUGAUCUCAGCUCACUGCAACCUCUGCCUUCCAGGUUUAAGCAAUCCUCCUGCCUCAGCCUCCCGAGUAGCUGGGAUUACAGGCUCACGCCACCAUGCCCAGCUAAUUUUUGAAAUUAGAGACAGGGUUUCACCACGUUGGCCGGGCUGGUCUUGAACUCCUGACCUCAAGUGAUCCGCCUGCCUUGGCCUCCGAAAGUGCUGGGAUUGCAGGUGUGAGCCACUGCACUCAGUCAUACUAUGUUUUAAUUAAGUUCUAUUUUGGACGUCUUUGAUGAUUGCGAAAAACAGAUGACAUUUACUUUCCAUUGAAGUGAUGUAUUCUGAGUUCCUACUUCAUGCUGGGCUUUGUCACUUAAUAACCAUGUGGGCUAGGUAACUAUUAUGCCCACUUGACAGUUGAGGGAGCAUAGGCUUAGGAAGAUUAAAACUUUCCCAAGUCAUAAAACGAAGUAAGUAGCAGAGCUGGGAUUGGAAGCUAGAUGUCUGACACACUUAAGAAAAAAGUCUCAUAAUUUAAAACAUUAUUUUUAAAUUUCAAAACCCAAAAGUGCUCAUUGUAAAAUAAAAUACAAACGUGAUCAUGACAGAAGAGUUUAAGUAAGAUUUAAAAGCCCGUCCUACCCCUAACCCCAUUCCUCUUUCCAAGCAUAACCACUGUUAGUAGUUUGGUAUAAAUACUUCCAUAUCUUUCUUUUUGCCUAGCGUAAUUUUCUUUUUUUUCUUUUUUUGAGACUGAUUCUCACUCUGUCACCUAGGCUGGAGUGCAGUGGCACAAUCUUGGCUCACUGCAACCUCCAUCUCCCGGAUUCAAGUGAUUCUUCUGCCUCAGCCUCCCGAGUAGCUGGGACUACAGGCACACACCACCACGCCCUGCUAAUUUUUGUAUUUUCAGUAGAGAUGGGGUUUCAUCAUAUUGGUCAGGCUGGUCUCGAACUCCUGACCUAGUGGUCCGUCCGCCUCAGCAUCCCAAAGUGCUGGGAUUACAGGCUUGAGCCACCACACCUGGCUCAACCCAGUGUACUUUUCAUCGUACAGUUGGCAAGAGAAAGAUAUGGAAGGAUUUUCACAGUAUCACACUUGAAUGUAUGAAAAAUAUUCACACUUUUCACAGAAUCACACUUUCUAUCUACUUAAAUCAAAAAACAGAGGAGGCUGAAUUUACUAUAUAUCUUUACUAGAAUAAGCAUCUACCUCUACACAAUAACUGAAAUGCUCAUUCAGCUAACAUUAGGCAUCUAUCUGCAGAGACACAAAGAACUCUAGAACUCACUCUCUGUUUCCCAGGGACUCACAAUCUAGUGCAGUGGUUCUAAGUUUAUUUUUGAGAGAGUAAUUAUAGACUCCUUUGAGAGACUGCUGUGAGCUCUGAACUCUUUCCCAAGAAGAAAAUGAACCUGUACAAUUUUGCCUAUAAUUUAGAGGAUUCGUGGAAACCUUGAGGGUAUGGACCCCUGAUCUUGUAGAAGUGAGACUUUUAAAUGUAUAGUUGGAUAGAAAUACUAUAAUGGAAAUGUAGACAAGAUGCUAUACCACAGCACAGAAAAACAGGGCUUAACUCUCCUGGGACAUAUCAAGAAGACAGGGAAGAAUGACAUUUGCACAAAAUUUUGAAGGACAUUAGGAGUUUGACAACUAGCCUGGUGCAGGGGAAGGAUGUCCGCAGAGGGAACAGCCCCAGAA
rnacentral:lncRNA from 1 species